AAAAAAAAAAGGACUACUGGUUGCUGCUCGGCCCACCUUUUCAAGUUAUUGGCUCCCCAGAAACCGGUCCUCCCCUGCGCUAUUGGACACCAUCAACACAGUGGCGUAGACCAUCGGCUGUGCCACAAGUCCACCUGUAACCUAACCCCGCCUCUUUCAUAGUCUGUUUAGGGGUAAGGUCCCACCUAAUGGGUGCUGGGCCAAGACUUCGUAUAGGGCCCAGGACAGGUCCGACGUCAAGGGUCAGAGGAGGAUUUGGGCCAAGGCUAAGGUCAUGGAGUCGGCUAAGGCGAGAAGGGUCCUCAAAAUAAGGCGGUGUGAUUGUAUUUGUUUUCGUUUUGUUUUUACUUCAAAAUAAGAUAUGUGCAGUGUGCAUAGGAAUUUGUUCAUAGUUUUUUUUUUUAACUAUAGUCCCGCCCUCCAACGGUCUGAGGGACAGUGAACUGGCCCCCUGUUUAAAAAGUUUGAGGACCCCUGGAAGGGCUCAGUACAGUCAGGCUGAGGUAAAGGGGGUCAAGGUUACAGUGAUUUUUUUUUUUUUAGGUUUGAAAAUGGCUAUGUGGGGUGGCGCCUGUGGCUCAAAGGGGUAGGGCGCCGGCCCCAUAUGCCGGAGGUGGCGGGUUCAAACCCAGCCCGGGCCAAAAAAAAAAAAAGAAAGAAAGAAAGAAAGAAAAUGGCAUUGUGGUCCUCUUUUUAAAGAUUCCUCAUAUAUGAAUGCUGAAAUAUUUACAGGUGCAACAAUACCUGUACUUCCAAAUAAUACGUAUGUGUCCACAUACACAGGGUGCCAUAAAAAAUGUAUACACUUUAAAGAAAGGAAAAAACUAUUAAAAUUGUAAUACUCAAUAUAUAUCAAUAACAUUUGUUAUCUUGUAUUUGUAACUUGUAUCUCUUGUAAUUGCAGUGACUUGAGUAUUACAAUUUUUUGGCACCCUCUGCGCACACGUGCGUGCGUGUUUUAGAGGCAGGGUCUUGCUCUGUCACCCACUCUGUAUUGCAGUGGCAUCAUCACAACUCACUGCAACCUCAAACCCCUGGCUUCCAGCUCCUGCCUUAACCUCCCCAGUAGCUGGAACUUCAGGAAUGCUCUACCAUGCCCUGCUAAUUUUUUUUUUUUUUCCGAGACAGUCUCAAGCUGUCACCCUGGGUAGAGUGCUAUGGAGUCAUAGCUCACAGCAACCUCCAACUCCAGCUCAAGAGAUCCUCUUGCCUCAGUUUUUCUAUUUUUUUUUUUUUUAGUAGAGAUGGGGUCUCGAGUUUUGCUCAGGCUGGUCUUGAAUUUGUGAGCUCAAGCAAUCCAACCACCUCAGCGUCCCAGAGUGCUAGGAUUACAGGCAUGAGCCACCGCGCCUGGCCAAGCCCUGCUAAUUUUAAAUUUUUUUUGUAGAGACUGGGUCUUGCUGUGUUGCCCUGGCUAGCCUCAAACUCCUGGCCUCAAGUGAUCCUUCCAAUUCAGCCUCCCAGAGUGCUGGAAUUAUAGGCAUGAGCCAAUGCACCCAGCCUAAAUAAUGUAUAGUAUAUCUUAAAUAAUCCAUAAUGAAAAGGUCAAACAACUGUAACCAAUGAAUAUUACGCCCGAGCUCUUAAUUUUAAAAGAAAUUGACCCUAACUUUCCCUCUAGCUACAUCUUCCAGACCUCUGCGCUCCUUGAUAUCAAAAUUCUUAAAAAAACUUGUCUAUUUCCAAUAUCCACCCCACAUCCCCAUCUUCUUUCUUUGUGCGUGUUUCUGGCUUUUGGCUCCCACAGCACUAAAAGUGCUGAUUUAAGGCCCACAGUGCCACCCACAGUGCCAAAUCCAAUACUCAGGUCUUGGUAUGGCCAGCUCAUUCAUCCAUAUGCAAUGUCAUCUACAUUUUAAUUUUAACCUCUUGACUAUCAAACACCAGAUGCAACUUAUCCAAAAUAACUCCUCAUCCCCACCCCAAUCCUGCUCCUCCCCUAGGCUUCCCAUCUCUAGUGAAGUUAUCUUUCUGGCUGCUUUGGGCCAACAACUUGGAGGUUUGAGACUGCUCUCUUUCUCUUGUCACACAGAUCUCACAUCCUAGCCCUACCUUUAAAACCUAGCUAGAAAUCUUGCUAGCACUUUUGGGGGCCAAGGUGGGAUAAUCACUUGAAGCCAGUUGGAGACCAGCCUGGGCAACAGGCAACAUAGCAAAACCCCAUCUGUACAAAAAAAUUUAAGAAUUAUCCAGGUAUGGUGGCACAUUUUUACUACUGGGGAGCCUGAGGUAGGAGGAUUGCAUCAGCCCUGGACUUCAACGUUGCAGUGAGCUAUCACUGUGCCACUUCACUCCAGCCUGGGGAACAGACCCAGGCCCUUGCUGUGGAAAAAAAAAAAGAAAAGAAAAAAAAACAGGGAAGGUAGUAUGCAGGUAGCUGUUGUCUGAGAAGCCAAGUGGAGGUGGGGUGGUCAGGGAAGACCUCACUGAGGUGGUGACAUUUGACACCUGAAGGUGAGGGAUGAAGCCAUGUUGUUAUCUAGGGGAAGAGCAGUCCAGGCAGAGGGCACAGUCAGUGCAAAAGCACUGUAGCAGGAUUGUGCCUAGCAUGUGGGAGGAACCAAAGGAAGGCAUCCCAAAAUGCCUCCCAAAAUUAGAUGCAGGAACCAUCAUAUCCAGCCUGAUUUUUUUUUUUUUUUUUUUUUUUUUUGAGACAAGAGUCUUACUCUGUGCCUUGGGUAGAGUACUGUGGCAUCACAGCUCACAGCAACCUCAAACUCUUGGGCUCAAGUGAUCCUCUUGUCUCAGCCUCCCAAGUGGCUGGCUCUACAGGCACCUGCCACAACACCUAGCUAGUUUUUCCAUUUUUAGUAGAGACAGGGGUCUUGUUCUUGCUCAGACUGAAUUUUUGUUUUUUUAAACUGUCUUAAACCUCACAAGAAUGGAGGCUCUUUGAGAACAUUUUUUUGUUUUCUUCACAGUAUGCUGCAGCCUUCAGAACAGUGCCUUGAAUAUAGUAUACACUCAGGAGAGUUUGCUGAAGGAAGGGAGGGUCUAAGUCUCAGUGUCAAAGUGGAAGCAGAAGGGGCCUGUGAACACCUUUAAGAAGUGGAGAUGGAGAGAGCGAGUGAGGAAACCGUGCUCCCGUGAGCUGCUGUGGAUCAAGUGUAAAAUUCCAUUCUGAUAUCAAAAUGCAGUAUUCACACCACUGUGACCCUUUUAGAGAGACUGAACAAACAACAAGAAGCAGGUUUUCUUUGUGACUGCACCAUAGUGAUUGGGGAAUUCCAAUGUAAAGCUCAUAGGAAUGUGCUCACCUCAUUUUGGUGCAAUCUACAGAAGCACUUCUGAGAACAAUGUCUUUCUUGAUCAGAGUCAGGUGAAGGCUGAUGGAUUUCAGAAAUUGUUGGAGUUUAUAUACACAGGAACUUUAAAUCUUUUUUUUUGGCCGGGGCUGAGUUUGAACCUGCCACCUCCAGCAUAUGGGACCGGCGCCCUACUCCUUGAGCCACAGGUGCGGCCCAGGAACUUUAAAUCUUGACAGAGAUAUCUAGUAUUACUGGAAACAUUGAAUUGAAUCAAUAGACUUGCCUUCUUACUCUGCGAGAUUAUAACACUUGGGAGAAAUCAGAAAGUCUCUGCAGAUUAAGUUUGGGCAAAUCCUAAACAAGGAGCUUUGUCAAAGAAGUUAUCUCAAAGUAAAAAGAACCCUUUCAACUCCCAAAAAGCAGGGCAGAAUAAAAUAGUGCAAUACCCCAGUAACAUUUUAGAAAAUGCAUCUGUUGAAUUACUCUUAGAUGCAAUUAAGUUGUCCACACUUGUAGUAGAGCAAAUUGCACAGAGAAAUGAUAAUUCAGAACUCAAGUUAACAUCAGUUAUGGAAAACACUUUUCCAGCACAAGAUACUGUGCAAACUAUUACAGUGAAACGGAAACGAGGAAAAUCACAGCCCAGCUGUGCUCUGAAAGAACACUGUAUGUCCAAUAUAGCCAGUGUCAAGAGUCCAUAUGAGCUGGAGAACUCUGGGGAAGAGCUGGAUCAGAGUGUCUCCAAGGCCAAGCCAGUGUGCAACACGUAUGGGAAAGUAUUUUCAGAAGCCAGCAGCUUGAGAAGGCACAUGAGAAUACACAAAGGAGUCAAACCUUACGUCUGCCACUUGUGUGGAAAGGCAUUCACCCAGUGUAACCAGCUGAAAACACAUGUAAGAACUCACACAGGUGAGAAGCCAUACAAGUGUGAAUUGUGAUAAAGGAUUUGCUCAGAAAUGCCAGCUAGUCUUCCACAGUCGCAUGCAUCAUGGUAAGGAAAAACCCUACAAAUGUGAUGUGUGCAAUUUACAAUUUGCAACUUCCAGCAAUCUCAAGAUUCAUGCAAGGAAGCAUAGUGGAGAUAAGCCAUGUCUGUGAAAGGUGUGGACAGAUAUCUGCCCAGGCCAGCACCCUGACCUAUCACGUGCGGCGACACACUGGGGAAAAGCCGUAUGUGUGUGACACAUGUGGGAAGGCAUUUGCUGUCUCUAGUUCUCUUAUCACUCAUUCUCGAAUACAUACAGGUGAAAAACUAUACAUAUGUGGUAUUUGUGGGAAAAGUUUAAUUUCCUCAGGAGAGCUCAACAAACACUUUCAAUCCCAUACAGGAGAAAGACCAUUUAUCUGUGAAUUGUGUGGAAAUUCUUAUACAGAUAUUAAAAAUUUAAAGAAGCACAAAAGUCCAUUCUGGUGCAGAUAAAACUAGAUUCCAGUAUAAAAGAUCAUACUGUGAGUGAAUAAGAUUCCAUACAAAAAAGCCCUUUAUCAGAAGCUAUGGAUGUGAAGCCUUUUGAUAUGACUUUGCCUCUAGCUCUUCCACUUGGGGCUGAGGACCAGCACAUGCUUCUGCCUAUCACAGAUAACCAGUCUCCUACAUUAGAUAAGUUGUUGAGGUCAACUGUGAAUGGCUAUUCAGAACCACAGCUGAUUUUUUUACAACAGUUAUACUAACUUUGUGAGGAACAUGGAAUUGCUAAGACAUCUUUGGUAGUGACAUAAACAUCUCUGGCAAAGUGCAUAUAUCCAUAGUAAAUUCCCAUUCAUUUGA